rnacentral:pre_miRNA from 1 species
GGGUGGAAGGUUGGAUCUUCGCAUGAUUCAAGUUGCCAGAUCUAACUCUUCCAUAUGAC